rnacentral:lncRNA from 1 species
AUGGAUCUUCAUAGAAUUUGAUACAUGUAAUCAAUAAACAACAAGAUUGACUUAUUUAAAAAUAGAAAAAGAUUUAAGCCUACAAUAGACCAACUUGUUUAAAAAACAAGUAGUCUUGAUAUUGCAACAAAAUAAUUAUACUUUUUCAUCCAUAUUAAAUUAUAGUUAUUUCUUGCAAUAGGCAUUUGUAGUGAUCUUUUAUUAUUCUUGAGCUUCCUUUAAUUUUACCUUUAUUACUAUAUAUAG